AGAAUUAGGAGGUGGGGUGGUUGGGAGGGGAUUAGCUCAUGAGGGUGGAGCCCUCAUGAAUGGGAUUAGUGCCCUUAUAAAAGAGGCUCCAGAGAGCUGUUUAGCCCUUUUUCUGCCAUUGUGCAGUCUGCAGUCUGGAAGAGAAUCCUCAGCAGAACCUGACUGUGCCAGCACCAUGAUUUCAGACUUUCAGCCUCCAGAAUUGUGAGAAACUUGGCAAGAUAGCUCUGGAAGAUAGCUCCAGCUCAGGAAGAAGACCCUGCAGCCCAUUUCCUUUCAAAAGGCAGAGAUGAACAUUUUCCCUGGCCGUCUUGAAAUACACCAAUAUGUUUGGAAAUAAAGAGACUUGGCUUCCUGGUCCUGCUCUAAGAUGGGAGCUUAAACCUAUGGAAUGUGACACCACUUUGGGCAAAAACAGAAUUCUUAGCAAAGAAAUCAUUGAUGUUAAGAAACAGUACACAAUUGCCUCAGAGAGGCACCAUGUGUUUCCAAAGUGUGAAUCUGAAAACCAUCCAUCUGGGCAUGUUGGCAUCUUCCUGAAUCGUAUGUGAUUGAAAGAAAUAUUUUCAACAUUUUUCAAGUCUUUGACUACAUGAGAAAGAGAAUAAGGUAAAGGAGAUCUUUUUUCAUUUCCAGUUAUUGAGAAUCAAGUAUGAUCCUUAGAUUGGAAUACCUUGCCCACCCUUCUGCCUGGAUAGCCCCAAUCAUUCAUCAAGACUCAGGUCACCAGUGGCAUUCUUAGUGAAUUACUCUGUCACCCUAGCUCUUUAUUUGUCGCAUAACUAACUCUAUGCAUACUCAUAUGAAAAUGCUUAUUUACUUUGAUUAAAAUUAUUUCUUCAACUGUUGCUUCCCCUAUAAUCUAUGAGCUCCUAAAAUGAAAAGCAGAUGGUCUUUAAUGCAAUUCAAUUCAACAAAUAUUAUUACAAUGCUCCAGAUACUAAUCUAGAAGCUGCAGAGACAAUUCUGAAUAAGAAGAGAGCAUUUUUGCCCUCCAGAAUUUACAAUCUAGCUGGGCAGAGAGAAAUUGAACAAGUAAUUAGACUUAAAGAUGAUUCUUGGUGAGGAGUUAGGAUAACUGCAUCUGAAACCUCACAUAGACAAAAAUAAAGUUGAAAGUUCAAACUUACUUUAAUAUUGUUUUUAUUAAUAGUACUUUUUGUGUUGUAUGACAUAGAUAUUCAGAGUGAUUUUCUAGAUUGUUGAGAUCAUCAUACAUAUUUCUUGUGAAGCUAAGUAAUAGUCACUAAAUUAUGGGCCAGGCAUAUGGCUAGGUUUAUGUAUGUAUAUGUACACACAAGUUAUAUUAUAUAUAACUUAUAGUGAAUUUACAAGCCCUCUAUGACCAAGUUACUUUAUUUUUUGAAACUUAAAUUAAUCCUAAAAGUAAAGGUUUUUUUUUUCAAAUCAUUUAAAAAGCAGAUAAAUUAUAUUGCAUCAUUAUAGCCUCAAACACAUGGUAUCAAAAUAUGGCCACAUGUUAAUCAAUAAAACGAAUAACUUUGUGGUAAACUAAGAGACUGAGAAAUCUUGCCACUAAACAUUAAAGGCAGAGUGACUUCCAUGUUUUGAUCGUGUUAGAGUUGUCUGAGUCAUUUUAGGCUGGCCUAACAGAAUACCAAUGGACUGGGUAGCUUAAACAGCAGAAGUGUAUUUCUUGCAGUUCUGAAGACUAGGAAGUCCAAGAUGAAGGUGCUGGCAGAUCUGGUGUCUGGUGAGGGCCCUUUUCCCUCUGGUGAGGGUUUGUAGAUGACUGCCUUCUCGUUGGAUUCUCACAUGGUGGACAGCAGAGAGAGAAGAAGCAAGCUCUCUUGUGUCUUUUAUAAAGAUGUUAAGCCCAUUCAUAGAGGCUCCACCCUUUUGACCUAAUAAUCUCCCAAAGGUGCAACCUCCUAAUACUGAUAUUUUGGAAGUUAAUAUAUCAACAUAUGAGUUUUGGAGAGACAUAAACAUUCAGUCCAUGGCAGGGUGCAUAACUGGUUCCAUUGUUCAAAGAAAAAUUCAGUAAAAAUAAAAAAUAAUAAUUCCAUCAGAUCUUGGUUAAGUUGAUUGUCACAGAAUUUGGUUCAUUAAUAAAAUAACCUGUUUCUACCCUAAAUGGGGAUACUUUGAUUAAGGUUUCCACUUACUAGUGACCAAAUUCCUCAAGAGAAAGCACUGUCUCUACUUUUUUCAAACCUCAUUCAUAGUAUUUGGGUUAGGAUUCUACACAAUAUGAGAGCUUUGUCAAAGUUGAGUAAAUCAACUUGGACCUCUUUUCUUCUUAUUAAAAUGCAACAAAUUUAAUUAAUAAACACCCUUUUAUUGAUACAGGUAUCCCCUGCUAUCUGAAUUCUCUCUUUUAAUGAAAAUUAUUUUCCUAUCCAAACUCUAGAACUGAAUUGAAGCUCUACUCUUCAGACCAAAAAAAGGUUGCAGAAUAUAAAUUUAGGCACUUUUUGGAGGGCUGGAGGUCUGUACACUGUUGUUAGGAAGAAACUGUCUACUCUCCAGCAGAGAUGAGAAAAAAAGGGGAAUUGUUACAAAAUUAAUAUGAGACCAGAUUAAAAGAUGUAUUGAAAGGAAAAGAGAGAUUAGAAUACCAGCCAGGAGGCAAUAAUAUUGAAAAAGUGAAGUUUUCAUAUCUUGUCAAAAGAAAAUGUUUACUUUUUCAAAGUUUUUUUAAUGUUGUAUAUUAUGAAUACAUUUGAAAUCCAAAUUAUUGUUCAGCCAUGUUGAAUAUAUUUGCUACUCUGACCAGUUUUUAGAAUGCUCUGAUGAAACUUGUGUGAUCUCCAAAUUUGUAUAGUGAAGAGAAAACCCUGAAAAUCUUUCACUUUGUCAUGCCUGCGCUGAGGGCAGAUGACUCACUGUAUGAAUUCAAGUUAAAUCACUUAACCUUUUUCUCUUAUUCAACCCAUCUGGGAAGCUGAAUACAAGCACUUCACUAUGAAACAGAUGGUGAGCCUAAGCUACAUUUUCCCAGAUUAAAAAAAGAAGAAUGUGUUAUAAGGACUAAAAGAACCAAAUGUGGAAAAAACGCAGGGAUUACACGGAAAAGAGCUAUAAGCUGGAUCAGACAUUUUCACCUGUAAAAAAUAAUGUAAUGCUUAAAAAAUAAGUCCUAGGAGAUGAUAUGGGGACAAAGUCAGUAAAACCUUUUCAUAAAGCACCAUAUGUGUAAUGUGGUCAUGAAUGUUGGUAUGUACAGUGAGUAAAAUGCUAUUUGUUUGCUGGUUCAUUUACCUGUAUGUCUCAGAAAACAAAUUUGGUUACUUUAGGAUACUUUUAGGUUAUCUAUUUGAUAACUGUAAAGCUAAAUGCUAAUAAAAACAUCUCGAGAAAAUUUAUGAGACCCAUCUAAAUUAUAGCUCCAGUGAAAUUUAACACUAGUUGGAAAACAAAAACUUUCCAAUAUGUUCUAGGAUAAUUGUUUUCUAAUCUUUUAUAUGCAUAUAAAUCACUUGGAAGUAAGGCAAGUUAUUGCCCCUUGGUAACUUUGGAUUUUAACUUUAUUAUGCAUAAAAUUAUAUUAAAUUCAAAUGUAUUUACAUGUGGAUAUUUAUAUCUGUCACAUUUUAUGGAAGAAGAAAUAUCUGUUGCAGCUAUUUUGAUAUUUUGAUGAAUAAAGUAGAACAUAUUAAAAAG
rnacentral:lncRNA from 10 species